GUUGAGAGAGAGAGAGAGCGAUGGAGGGAGAGAGAGGUUGAAGGAGAGGAGGGGGGAGUGGAGGUUGAGAGAGUAUUAUCAGGACAGAGAAGAGGGAGGAGGGAAGCGGAGGGGAAGGAGCGAUAGAGGGGAGAGAUUUGGUUCUUCCAAGCAGCAGCAUAGCAGAGCUCCUGCCUCUCUACCUUAACUCAAAGCCUCAGCUUCACAGCCUCAUGUGUACAACAUAGAGAAUGUGAUGUGAACACUGUGAACGCUACCACUGCAUCUGCUGUAAUGAGAAGACUCUCUACGGUCUCUCUCUUCACACACACACACACACACACACACACACACACACACACACACACACACACACACACACACACACACACACACACACACACACACACACACACACUCCUGUAAUGACAAGAAAACUCUACAGCUUCUUUCUCCCAGCCUGACCUUUUCUUAUGGCUGUGGGGCAAUUUCUUCAGUAUUACCUCAUCCAUCCAUCCAUCCAUCCAUAUUCUCUCCCUUUAGGACCGCGGGGAAUGGGAGUCGGGAUACAGUCUGUAUGUAUCACUUCCGUUAAGCAAGUGGGAACAUUGCGCUUAAGUAUCAGAUUAUGUUGUCUGGAAGUCGCAGCAGCUGUGGAGCUAUGAAACCCAGAGUGAGGCCCAAUCCCUAACGCUGCUACAUGCUUCUACAUCGACCUGUCUGCCGUGGCGGUAGAUCCGGAGGUAUAAACCGUGCGGGGGCAAUGCCUGCGUUCCUGCGGACCCCCACUAUGAUCCAGCCACACCUGGAUAUGAAGCCCUUCCUGCAGUUCCCUAUGGACACAGCUCCACCACAACACAGCAUGGGCCUGUUUCACAACUUCAACACCGUGAGUAGUAUAUACAAAACCGUGAGUACAUGCACACACACACACACCCUGACACACACACAUCCUGACACACNNNNNNNNNNNNNNNNNNNNNNNNNNNNNACACACACACACACACACACACACACACACACACACACACACACACACACACACACACACACACACACAGACACACACACACACACCACAUAUACACAUGUAUACACUAUUCUUUAGGUACUGACUCCAGGUCAGGAAACCUCUCUGUUAACUACCUUUCAAAUGAAUUGGAUUGAAGAGUAGCUUCAAGGUCGUUUUUACAAUGCUGUAUACUUCAGAACACACUUCACAGUGCUCUACUUACACUUCAAAACACACAAUGUAUCAAACCUGUCUGAGAUGGUUGUUUAAUGUGUGUUCUCCAAUGUGCCCUGUGGAUGUCCUUCUCUCAUUUCUAUAGGGACUCUCUGUGUCCUCAGGCCCAUUUGGGUUCAAUUACUACUUGAAAUCUUUCGGAGACUCUGAGCGUUUGCCUGGAAUUCAACAUGGGUGGGGCUUGCAGUCUUGUCCUUUGAGCCAGACCAGCUCAAUGAAACGCUGCUGAUGUAUUAUAAAGAUGUCAACUACUAUUUGAACCCAGGUCUGCCCUAGGCUUUGAGUUAUGGCCGAUCAUUUUGAUUAGGAGGAUAUUUAGCAUAUCACCACACUCAGCAUAUUGUUGAAAAGAGCUGUGCAUUGCGUUCUCAAGAUGGCCGAUUUGGAAAUGCAUUAUUAAAAGCACAGUGUGGUUCUGUUGGUCAGCAGAAUAGAAUGAACAGAACAGACUAGGAUUGUUCUACUGGACUGGACUAGGAACAUCAUUCAAAGAGCAUCUCGUAUGAGUGCUGAUCUAGGAUCAUGUUUGGCCUUUUAGAUCAGACAGGGGGGACCUGAUCCUGAAUCAGCACUCCCACUCUGAGACACUUUGUGAAUAUGGUUCCUGGUCCCCCAUCUCCGUAAAAUCGGAAUAAUUAUGAUCUGAAAGGCUAAACUGAUCCUGAAUCAGCACUCCCACUCUGAGACACUUUGUGAAUAUGGUUCCUGGUCCCCCAUCUCCAUAAAAUCGGAAUAAUUAUGAUCUGAAAGGCUAAACUGAUCCUGAAUCAGCACACCUACUCUGAGACUCUUUGUGAAUAGACUAUGGGCCCAGGUCUUUAUGUUGGGUAAUAAGGUCAUUCCCACACCAGCUGACCUUUUCUCUAUUUGUUUGCCAUCUCAAUCUGUAUCCUUGUCUCUCCAGCUGGCUCGGGACAUAGCAUGGCAACAUAUCGUACAAGGCUUGUUGCCAAUUGGAAGUAUGGCAUGUGACUUGGCCUCAGUGCAGGUCAUACAGACACAGAACAAACCGAGACCUUUAACCUCCAUUUUAUUUGACUACCCAUUGGCUUUAACAGGCCCCUUAGUUUCCACAGAGCUGCACGCUGCGGACACUCACUGUGUUGAAAUGAGAACAGGACUGACCGGUCGUAGAUGGACCAAGUUACAGACGUCCUCGUGUUCUGUUUCAGAUCUGGACAGAUCUGAUGUGUUUCUCUGAAACCAAACUUAACCCAGACUCUCUCUCUCCUACUGUGGGUGUUCUGGGUCUUUCCAACAGGAUCGCGCUGCAGACCCGAACCAUACUGUGCUGUCUUGGAUAUUUUAGCCUACAUCUCAAAGACCUGUUCUGUACCGCUUGGCUCGAUGCUGCUCAGGAGUGUGAAAAGCCCUUUCUGACUUGCCAUUCCAAGUGCUCCGAUUUACCACAGCAACGAUCUAUAUUUGGUCCAGUGGGAUUGUAACAGCCCACAGACGUGUACCGCUGCUGACCAGUAGAUGGGGGUGUUGGAGAGGACAACCUGACCUUACUAAUGACGUUUUAGGACACCUUCAGAAAGGGAUUGCUGCACUGUGUGCACUAAAAAACAAUGGAGGGGGGGGUGAGUAACAGAAAGUGACAUGAACGAGGAUUCGCUCACGCAGGUUAUAAACAGGUCUUUUAUCUGGAACCGUUGGGAGUGGUCUGGAACGUUAACUACAUGUUCUAGAACGGAUCGGGACUUACCGUGUGUCUAUGGCAGUGCACGUGUUGUCGCUUCUGUCAAGUGCAUAUAGUAGUUGUGCAGGGGACGGCAGUCUUGGGCUGUACAUAGAUAUCUAGCCACUACAGACCGACAGUACAUGUCGGAUCAAUGAGAGUGAGACCCAUGCUUUCAGGAGCAGUACUUUUCACUAAUGUACUACUUCUGCCUGCGUGGUUGUCGUCACAGCAGGCGUUUAUGGAUUUUUGCCUUUUUUGGGGAGAGAGAGAGAGAGAGAGAGAGAGAGAGAGAGAGAGAGAGGGUGUGGGAGGAGAAAACGACUACAGCACUGGGAGAGCGAGAGAGGAGCUGGAGAGGGAGAAAGAGGGGAGGAAUCUGCGUUGAUAAGGCAGACACUUGCUAGCUAGGUGACGUAUCAGUAGAGAAACAACAGAAUCCCAACAGAAUCCCUCAUGGCCAGAACUACUACAGCUAUAUAGAGACACGGGAAAGGAGAACAAAUAAGGAAUUGUGAGAGGAAUAGAUGGAGUGUACCAUUAGCUACGUUCACUGCUGAGGUUCUACCAGUCUAGCAUAGUGUAGGAGGUGGCUGAAUGAGUAGAGAGACAGAGACACGCACUCCCACUACCUCACUCUUACACACCACGCAGAGACAGGGACACAAACACACAGAGAGAUACACACCGGCGGAAGCAUGCAGCUUAAAGAUCCAGCUGACUCAGAGCAGGAGACGAGGGUGAGUACAGGACCAGAAACCAGCAGUAGUGUUGAAUACAGGGAUAUAUGGGACAGAGGGGAGUGAUUUCAGGUUGAGGUACUCUUUAAAAACUGGGCAGGAGAUACUGUGGCGCACGCACACACACGUUGGUGUUCAAAGGACCUUUCAUCUGGCUUGGUAGAGUUGUUGCUCCUGUCGCCAGCCAAGACCCACAGCGUGAAAUAGAACAGUGUAUGGUUGGACCGCAGGAAUUUGAGUUGAGCGCCACGGCAGAA
rnacentral:lncRNA from 13 species